UCAAAGGUCUUUCAAAUCUACAGAUUCUUGAUAUAUCCAACAGCAAAUUGAUGGUCAACGUAGUUGAAGACGAGAACAAAGAUGGAAUAAUAAUUGAACCGCUAUCUGUCAUCAAACUGGAACAACUGAAUCUGGCAUUUCUGCCAAAUCUUAAUUGCUUUUCUGAAAUAAAAUGUGACAUUGAACUAACAGAACUAACACAAGUGAUUGUCAAAAGUUGUCCAGAAAUGAUCACUUUCUCUGAAAGUUCAAUUAUUACUCCAAAGCUUCAGUUUGCAGUGGUUGAAGGCGUAAAGAAGACCGGUGACCUAAAUAGUACCAUUCGUGCUGCACAUGCUUUCUAGAUGCGAAUAUUAGAAACCGGGUGUCAGCUGAUCAACCGCUGAACUUGAUAGCCUUUUCGCGAUUUUUAAGUAUUUUUCGGUAAAAGGAUUUCUGUACGCUACAAAUCAAGAAAAACAGAGAAACUUCGACUGGAACAAUAGGGUAUAAAUGUUCUUUAAGGAAUUUCAAUAAACGCUUCAUUCAUACUAUUCACUACACAUGUUCGUGAAAGUUCACAUUCAGACAUUCAGUUAUCUUUGUUUUUUUUGUACUUGUGUGUUAACAAAUC